GACGAACGCUGGCGGCGUGCUUAACACAUGCAAGUCGAGCGGUAAGGCCCUUCGGGGUACGACGAGCGGCGAACGGGUGAGUAACACGUGGGUGACCUCGCCCUCAGCUCUGGGGAUAAGCCUGGGAAACCGGGUCUAAUACUGGAUAUUGACUCCAUGACGCAUGUUGUGGGGUGGAAAGCCUUGUGCGGCUGAGGAUGGGCCCGCGGCCUAUCAGCUUGUUGGUGGGGUGAGGCCUACCAAGGCGACGACGGGUAGCCGGCCUGAGAGGG
rnacentral:rRNA from 1 species